UUUACUGUCAAACUGAAAGUAAAAGUAAAGUUAAAGACGCAAUUUUAGAGGACGCGCAGUUCGAUACUCCUGUUCCAAUUGUUUGCAGAGAUUGAGAGGUUGAAAACAUGAACACUCAAUAUCCCUACAACAGAUGAUUUAUGUGAUCAGGUUUUCUGAGUGAGAUCUGUCUGAGCAGUCCAGAUUCUGAAGAGACAUUAGACUGUAUGGAGCCUGAGGGAGACCCUGAAGUCAUGAGC